GCCAAGUGUUAGAGAAAUUGUAUGUGACUAUACGGGUAAGGAUGUUGUAGUCUUAUGGGUAGAAAUAUGCGUAGGAGGAAUUAAGGUAUAUCUAUUAAUAGUCCCCAAACAUUAAUACUGAUGAGGAACUGCUAUCUUAAAUUUAAACAGCUGCAAACCUGGGUAACAUUUUAGUUAUAGGAUUUUAAUUAUCCAGACAUUGACUGAGUCAGAGGUACUAGUAGUACAGUUAAG